CUGAGGACGUCUCCGUUCGGAGAGAUCAACGUGACCCCUGCACCGGCGCCCUGAAGAGACAGAGAACCGUCGAACUGCAUCACCCAGUGGGCGGUUUGAGGCAGCUGUGAGGGGUCCGUGCUGGCCUCGGGUAUUGAGAC
rnacentral:misc_RNA from 1 species